CCUUCUUGAAAACAGGACUCCAUGGACAAAUAAGGAGAGAGCCACCAUGUCAUGACAACACAUGUCAUGAGAAAGCCCUGAGGAGAUGUCCCUGUGGGGAGAAACUGAGACCUGCCACCAACAACUAGAAUCGCCUUGCCAGCCAUGUCUAACACCAGCAAUAUUUACACACCGAAGGCACGAGUAUGGCCAUUUGGGGGGCUGUGAUAUUGUUAUUGAGGAGUUUUCCAGAGAUAACUAGACAAGAGCUAGAAAACAAUGGAAGGAACUUUAGAAGCUCACAGGUGUGGAAAGGGAAGAUCUCAGUUUCAAUGGAGCAUUGGAUCUAUACAAGUCAAGAGGCAAAAAGUGGGCUUUGCUGAAGACUGAUGCUAAAGCUGAAUUCUGGACAAUGAGUAGCAAUGAGCCAUGUAAAGAAAAGGAAGUGAGUAGGUCCUGAGGCAAAACAGAGUUUGCCACGUUUGAGGAACUGUGAGAGAACUGUUGUUCCCAGUGGGAGAACACUAAGAAUGAAAUUGGCUCAAAAUGAGGCUGGAGAUGUAGGCUUAGAUUACAUAGGUUGGCCAGCAUAGGAAUUUUAGAUUUCAUUUUAAAAAUCAAUGGGGAAUC
rnacentral:lncRNA from 10 species